GUCAGUUUAGCCAAUGGCCAGAAUGAUGGGAGUUGCAGCCCAACACCUCAAGACUCAAGGCUGAAGAAUACUGCCUACGGUAACCCAGUGGGUUGACAUGCGUAUAAAUGAAACAAUGGCAUUGUAUUUAGCUCCAUAAUUCUUGCAGCUGAAUAAUUUUGCUUCUACCAGUCUCUUCUUUGAAGCAUCAGAUUGGGAUAUCUCAAACAGCCACAAAAAACAAGACUGUUUUUUUAAAGCAGUGGUCUUGUUUCCAUAAGAUAAAUCAGACCAAUUUUUUACAUUCUUAUUGCUGCUCAAAGUCCCAUGAGGGAUGGCAGGAUGCACAACUCUUGGGGCAGAAAAAUGUGGGUUUGCGUGCAAACACAUACAUUAGAGUAAACUGACAAGUUUAGAGAAAGCCCGGUCUAUGAAAAAUAUUGAUUAAUUUGUUGCCCAAAAUAACUUGGUAAAAAUGCUAGGGUAGAGAGCUUUCUGCUCAGUGGAGACCUCCAGCCAAUUACUACUGAAAACAUUCAGGUGUAUUGGGCACACGUAGUAAAAGAACAAGCAGCACGCUGUCUCUACAGAGAAGAGAAAGUUCUUUUGCAGCAUCCAAGUAGGAGAAGUAUUAUGGUCUUGUUUUGGCAUGAAGUAAUUUCCUAAGUACCAGAACUUUAAUAUUAUAAAGUGGGAGCUGCAACAAAAUGUUGCAGUAUGCAGUGCUCCUAUUCCUAUUCAAGCCUUCAGCCAGCCAGCCAUACACUUUGGAAGGAACUGCAUUCCAUUCCUGUCCCUACUCAACAGCCUGCCAGCAUUCCAUAACCACAGUGCAUGCACAGUUCUUUUGGGGUCCCCACUUGGGUUUCCCCCUUUUCUGUGUGGGGAGAAUUCUUGUGAAUGGGUGCUGCUGUUUUGGCUAGAAAAGGAUCUGCGCUUGGAGAAUGAACUUGCCACAUCCGUGUAUAGGAUGAAAACGUGCAGUAUGAAUUGACAAUAAUUAGCUAUUUUCUGACCUCAUUUGAAGCUGCAUGAUAAUAUCGGCACUGAAACUGGAAUGGAAAUCUAGAGAAAGCAAGCUGUGAAUGUGGCCUUCUGUUUAUAGUUAAGCAUCUUUUUUGCUGAUGCGACAGAGUCUAUCAACAAAUUAUCACAGAGAACAUGAAAGGGCUUAGAAACUCUUUUGUAGCUUUUAAAAAGGGGGCUGGUGGAUAAUAAUUAGAUUACAAAUGGGCUUUUAAAGAGUUCUUGCCAAAGGCUUGUUAUGCUAAAUUGGUGGAACUGUUUUGUUAAUGCAAUAAGCAAAAUGUUGUUUUAUGUUACAAAUUAGGCACUGCCUUUUGAUAAUUUUCAAAUUAAACAAAUCUUCUGCCUAAUUCAUGAAAAUGGAAACAUUACUACUUCAGUCACAUAACCUCUGCCUAAUUCCUAAGAUUAGUGACACCUUUGCCUAAUUUGAGAUCUAAACAAAGCUUCCGUCAGUUUUGUAACAUUGAAUGGAGCAAAACUUCAGCUUGACUUAUAAAUCUGCCACUUCACUGCAUAAUUAAUUAAAUAAAUAAAUAAACAAAGUUUUAAAGGAAAUGGCAGUUUCAUCAAAACAUAAAGGUGAAGUGAUGUGGAAGAUCCAUGACUAUAAUUUUCCAUUGUUGUUGUUUUUUUAAAAAGGCACCCACACAAGAAAAUGAAUUGGACUGGGACUAAAGCAUGGGGAGUGAGGCUGUUAGCUCUUCCCCACUAGUGUUUUCCCAGUUAAAAUGCCCUUCCUUGAGCAGCUUCGUUUCCUAUGGGGAAAAUGUGAAGAUAUAAUAGCAAUUUCAGAGGCGAGUUGUUUUAACUGGGAAAACACCACAGGGUUGGAUUAGAAUGUCCCUCCCCAGAGCCACUGAUUCACAAUUUUAAUUUAAACAACUGAGGAUCCUAAUUAUGGAUCUUCAGAAUUAUGUCUAGUUUCAGUCAAAACUAGACAUUAGUUUGGCACCAGACUGCAAAUUUUAUCAGACAGCAACGUAUCAAUUUUUGAGCGUUUCAUAGGCAAUCUCACAAGUCAGACCGAGGCAUUGCUUAAUUUAUGAAUUAGAUAAAGAUGGCACCUAAUUUACAAAUUAGGCAGAAGCAUUUUUGCAUGGAAGCAUUCUGAUUUGAGUCUGAUUCUGCAAGUCCUCUACAAGUCUUGGUAGUUAAAGCCCCUGAACCAGAGGGUUCAUGGCAAAACAACCAUCAGUAACAGAUGAGUGCAUAGGAAAGCCUCAGGGAGCAGCCAGAAAAGCAGUCUGAUAAAAAAAAUAACAAGCUCCAGGAUGAACCAGGGCAAAGAUCAGGAGUGGCAGAGCAAAACUAGGAAGCAGAUACUAAAGAAUGGACUAUAUAGCUCAAGAUGGAAAGUACAGGCCAACUCUUGAGAGCCAAAGUCCUCUGCUUCAGGUCAUGCUGGUUCUGUCUACUUAGUGGCAGGCUGCAGAAGAAAAGGAAGCAGACAGAGGCAUUUUUCACAAACCAAGCUUUUCUCAUUCAUGAAACAACCACAUACCUCUAAGCUGCCCCAAGAGCCAGAUCAUCAGGGCUGUUACCAGCUAUCGUGCUAAAAAUCAGGUUAGGGUCUCUCACAGAAGGUACUUAGAGGAGAAAGGAACCUAAGAAUCUCCACGAGUAGAAUCUCUUGUCCUGGUGUCUCCUUAUUUCUGAGUGUCUGCGCUUGCUCUUCGGUGACUUCUUUAUAAUGAUUUCGCUGCCAACUACAUGCUCAAUACCCUUCCAGUUUCCUGACCCUCUGCUGCUCUCUUAAUGCACCCGUUUCCUGUUCUAAAUGGCACCAAGCCCCAAUGAGGCGAACAGGAGCAGAGUGGGAUCUGGUUUCCCAAAUGUCAGAUAAACAGCAAUAACACUGUUAGCUGGGAAAGAAGCAUGCUCUACAUACAACUAGCAAAGAGUAGGUAGGCUGUCAUGCAAAGGUCUCUAAUAUUAGCUUGAAAGUGCGCCAACACUUAAAAAAAAGUUCAUCUCAAAACCAAUUUCUUUGUGCCAUAAAGAGGAUCUGCUUAUCCUGGUUGUUGUGUUUUCCAUCUGAAUUUCAGACAUAUGGAAAACCACUCAGACACGGCAGCUUGAAUCCUGAAAUACAAUGCAUGGAGCAUUUUUUAAAUGCCUUGAAAAGAAGAUAGCUUUAAGAACUGUAGUAUUAAGCCAGAAGACAUUCUUAAAGUAAAGGAAAACAAGGGUGUGAUAUCCAAGGGCACAAUCUAAAUUACUCAUCACUUUGGUAUGGCUUUGGGGAGCAGCAGAAUAAUCGUAUCUGCAGACCUGAUUUUCAUGGUGGCUGCAGCAGAAAAGUGGGGAAGCACAAUUGGGCCUGGAUCAUGCCCAGUGCUGUCAUAUGAUGGCAGCAAGGCUGGCCUGGGAUUCAGCCUCCUUCCCCUUAAAUGCCUUGUUCUGGGGCUUUCUGUUGUACAAUGAUGCCUUGUAUAUACCUUGUAUACUUCCUUCCAGCAACUCCUGCAGCCAAGCUGGUGCCAAACGUAUUUCUCUGCUUUCCUUUGGACCACAUCAGCAAAGCUGAGAGGAGGGUGUUGUCUGGGCAACCCAUGAUCUCCAUACACACUGGCCAGGCUUGCAUUCUGGAGAGGUCACUUCAGUGCUGCUAAUGUAAUGGUUUGACUUCACCCGCAGAGGUGCACUCCAUUGUCUCUCGAGACAGAUGGAUGCCAACAGUAUGCUGGCCCCUGCUGGCAGCCAUACUACCUACAAGCCUCCUGUGUGCCCAUAUAACUGAUGGAAGGGGGAGAUCAGCACUGAUGGAGAUGCUGAUGGCAUCAAUCUGGUGGCAGCAGCUGGCAGGAGGCUGGCUAAGCCAGGAAAGCAGGGAAGAGGCACAACUCUGCCUAGCCAAGUUGCCUCAGCCAGGCAUAAGGGUAGUGGUGGAUUGCUUUGUCUAUCAUACUUAAGAGUAAACUCACUGAAAUCUGUAAGUUUUUGCAAUGAGCAGGAAUCUUAAACUAAAGUGAUGCAGGUAGGUUUUAUCAAAUAUCUGAAAUCAGUAGAUUCAAAAGUGAAACAUUCUAAAUCCUCUCAUAUCUAAGCAUUAAAGCUGGAGAAACUUUACCGAACUUUUGGUGAAAUAAUUUGAAAUAAAUGUUUGUGGAAUUUUAUCACCCAUAUUUCUAGUUUUGCCAUAUGAAUGAGUAGAACCAAAACUAAAUAGCUUGACUCCUUUGGCAAACAACGUGACAUGCAUCUGUAAGCCAACCACGUUUUAUAACAUAAAAAACCGACAAAUGGUUGUAAUAAAACGAUAAACAGCAAGUAUGUUCCUAACUUUGGAUAAGACAUUGUAACAGAAUAUUCACAAUUAAUUUCAACAGGUCUAAAUUUUUUGCUGACUCUGGAACCGGGAGAUUUGGUAGUGUCUGGCUCUUCAAGCUUUCGAUUUCUGAUGAAAUUCCUGCAGCAUUUAACAAAGUCUCAUAUUUUAAAGCAAAAUCCAAUAAUUUCACCUCACAUUAUUUAAAUAAAUAAAUGCUAUUUUUGUAAAAUAAUACUUAUAACAUAAAUAAGUAUUUUGGGGCCCCUUAAUUACGGCACCUGGAGCAGCCCCCUAACCCACUCACCAUUCCUUAUUCCAGCCCAGCAUAUGAAAGUCUUGUUAGAAUGCAAUAAAAAUCUUUAGACGUGUAGUUUUUUGUUUCAAAUUUUGCUCUGUGCGCUAAAGACACCCCUAAAGAUUAUGGAAGUUCCAGAAUUGGGGAUACUGGGGACACAUGAAUCUGUGCACAAACAUGAUAAUCUCUUGUGAUUCUCCCACACAUGAGACUUGCAUGCUUUCAAUAAGUGGCAUGGGAGGAAGCCAGGGAUCACACUAUAUAAAGUUAUAUCUGUGAAAAACCCUAAUACACAAAUCUGAGGAAUAUAUUCAGGUUAGUACUUUACUAUAUUAUAAUCUGACUGGAUCCUUUAUAACCCCUCCCCCCCAGCCCUGUUCAGGAAAAAUACUAUCAAGACAACCAAGUCUGUUGCCCUGAAUUUUGUGCUCUCAAAAUCCUGAAGUAGCCAAUACUGCUUCUUUAAAAGUAUGCUAGUUACUGUGUCAGCCUGUGUGCUUUGGCUUCUUAAAAAG